rnacentral:rRNA from 1 species
AGCAGCCGCGGUAAUUCCAGCUCCAAUAGCGUAUAUUAAAGUUGUUGCAGUUAAAAAGCUCGUAGUUGAAUUUCGGGGUUAGUAGGUUGGUCGUGCCACUGGUAUGCACUGGCCUCACUGAUUCCUCCUUCUUGAAGAACUGUAAUGCCAUUAAUUUGGUGUUGCAGGGAAACAGGACUGUUACUUUGAAAAAAUUAGAGUGUUUAAAGCAGGCUAACGCUUGAAUACAUUAGCAUGGAAUAAUGAAAUAGGACGUUCGAUCCUAUUUUGUGGUUUCUAGGAUUGACGUAAUGAUUAAUAGGGAUAGUUGGGGGCAUUAGUAUUCAAUUGUCAGAGGUGAAAUUCUUGGAUUUAUUGAAGACUAACUACUG